AUUGAACGCUGGCGGCAGGCCUAACACAUGCAAGUCGAGCGAUCGGCGGACGGGUGAGUAAUGUAUGGGGACUGCCCGAUAGCGGGGGAUAACUACUGGAAACGGUGGCUAAUACCGCUUAUUGUCGCAUAACCCAUAUGGGUUUAGCUAGUAGGUAAGGUAAUGGCUUACUGAGCCGACGAUCCUUCCCUAGUCUGAGAGGAUGAUCAGCCACACUGGGACUGAGACACGGCCCAGACUCCAACGGAGGCAGCAGUGGGGAAUAUUGCACAAGGGGCGCAAGCCUGAUGCAGCCAUGCCGCGUGUAGGAAGAAGGCCCUAGGGUUGUAAAGUACUUUCAGUCGGGAGGCGUUACCGACAGAAGAAGCACCGGCUAACUCCGUGCCAGCAGCCGCGGUAAUAC
rnacentral:rRNA from 1 species